rnacentral:rRNA from 1 species
GACGAACGCUGGCGGCGUGCCUAACACAUGCAAGUCGAACGAAGCUCUGCGAUACAAGACUUCGGACGAGUUGAACGGAUGACUUAGUGGCGGACGGGUGAGUAACGCGUGAGGACCCUGCCUUUCGGGGGGGGACAACAGUUGGAAACGACUGCUAAUACCGCAUAAUGUAUUCUGACCGCAUGAUCGGAGUACCAAAGAUUUAUUGCUGAAAGAUGGCCUCGCGUCUGAUUAGAUAGUUGGUGAGGUAACGGCUCACCAAGUCGACGAUCAGUACCCGGACUGAGAGGUUGAACGGCCACGUUGGGACUGAAAUACGGCCCAAACUCCUAGGGGAGGCAGCGGUGGGAAAUAUUGGGCAAUGGGGCAACCCCUGACCCAGCACCCCCGCGUGAAAGAAGAAGGCUUUCGGGUUGUAAUCUUCUUCUACCAGGGACGAAGGACGUGACGGUGACCUGGAGAAAAAGCCCCGGCUAACUACGUGCCAGCAGCCGCGGUAAUACGUAGGUGGCAAGCGUUGUCCGGAUUUACUGGGUGUAAAGGGCGUGUAGGCGGAGAAGCAAGUCAGAAGUGAAAUCCAUGGGCUUAACCCAUGAACUGCUUUUGAAACUGUUUCCCUUGAGUAUCGGAGAGGCAGGCGGAAUUCCUAGUGUAGCGGUGAAAUGCGUAGAUAUUAGGAGGAACACCAGUGGCGAAGGCGGCUUGCUGGACGACAACUGACGUUGAGGCGCGAAAGCGUGGGGAGCAAACAGGAUUACAUCCCCUGGUAGUCCUCGCUGUAAUCGACCAAUAAAAGCGUGUGGGAGGACUGACCCCUUCCGGGCCGCAGUUAACACAAUAAGUAAUCCACCUGGGGAGUACGCCGGCAACGGUGAAACUCAAAGGAAUUGACGGGGGCCCGCACAAGCGGAGGAACAUGUGGUUUAAUUCGAUGAUACGCGAGGAACCUUACCCGGGUCUGAACAUAGUCUGACCGGAGUGGAAACACUUUUUCUAGCAAUAGCAGAUAACGAGGUGCUGCAUGGUUGUCGUCAGCUCGUGCCGUGAGGUGUCGGCUUAAGUGCCAUAACGAGCGCAACCCUUAUCAUUAGUUACUAACAGGUGAAGCUGAGCACUCUGGUGAGACUGCCAGCGUAAGCUGUGAGGAAGGUGGGGAUGACGUCAAAUCAGCACGGCCCUUACAUCCGGGGCGACACACGUGUUACAAUGGCAUGGACAAAGGGCAGCUACCCGGCGACAGGAUGCUAAUCUCCAAACCAUGUCUCAGUUCGGAUCGGAGUUUGCAACUCGACUCCGUGAAGCUGGAUUCGCUAGUAAUCGCGCAUCAGCCAUGGCGCGGUGAAUACGUUCCCGGGCCUUGCACU